GCAAAAGUGUCUGGGUACUUGUCAGCUACAUGGGAGACUGGGUUCCUGGCUCCUAACUUCAGCCUGACCCAGUCCUAGCUGCUGCAGGCAUUUAAGGAGUGAGGGAGUAAAUGGGAGUGCUCCGUCUCUUUGCCUCUUAAAUAAAUAAAGUUAAAAUUCUUCAAAAGUGGGUGAUCUUUAUCUAUUCUUAAGAUUUAUUUCAGAGGCAGAUACUCAUACCCAUACAGGUACAUGCACGCGCGCACACACACACAGUGCUGAAAACAGACAUAAAGAGGGUUCUCAUCUGCUGGUUGACUUCCUAAUUCCCACAACUACUGGGCCUGAGCCUGGCUGAGUUGAGGACUGGAGAACCAUUCCGUGUUUCCAGCAAGGAUGAUGGGUACCCAAAUACCUGGGUCCUAUCCACUGCCCUCCUGGUCCACAUUACAGGAAGCUGGACUCAAGAGCCAGAAACAGGAACCCGAUUUCUUGAGCCUUCACAACUGCCUUCUCCAUCCACAUUAAUAGGAAGCUAGAGUCAGGAGCCACAGGUGGAUACUGAACCUGGGUACUUCAAGGAUGGAAUGCAGGUGACCUUCAUUGGCUUGGUAAUCAAGAUUUCAAAUCCUUGCCCCUCUGAAUUCUAAAAAUCAUUACAGUUUAGUAGCGGUUUUAAAAGGAAAUUAAGAAUUUACAACAUGUUUUAAUUUAAUUUCCUUCAUACAUUUAUUUCUCUGCAAAUAAUCUUCAUCUUUUUCAUGUGUACACACAUCUUAUGUAAAUGCUUUGGUACUAUGUGAAGUUUUGUGACAGUAUAUGUAGGUUUUCUUUAACAUAUCCCGUUUAUAGUUAAUACACUUCAAUAAUUGUUAUUUAUUGAAUGUACCUUAUUUUCUUAGUUCUAUAUUGAAUUUUUGCAGUUUGGCAAAUGGGUAAGCAGUGUUGUGGGAAACAAAGUAAUGUGCAUUGGUUUUCUUUGUAUUUCUUUUCUUUUAAUUAGUGUUUAGCAGACUCAGUGUGCACGGUAGACACAACUGUAAGAACACAAUGAUAUUGCCUUCCUCCCUCCCCCUUUCUCCUUUCCACUGUGUUUCCUUCUCCUUUUUCUUUCUGUCUUUGGUUUAGAUUUUGAGCCAAUUUUCAAAUUACGUUGCAGUAAAAAGGCUUAAUACUUUACUAGUUAAGUUUAACGAGUAAAAAACAAAAUUAUACCAGUUUAGUGAGACUAUAGACAAUGACUGUCAACAGUAGUUGAAUAGAAAAAUGAUCGUUUCAUCCCUAUGUGGUAAAUCUGUAAGUAAUUAUAGAUCAUUAAAAUUGUGGUAGGAUAACAUUCUUUUUUUAUUUUUUUAUUUAUUUUUUAUUUUUUGACAGGCAGAGUGGACAGUGAGAGAGAGAGAGACAGAGAGAAAGGUCUUCCUUUGCCGUUGGUUCACCCUCCAAUGGCCGCCGCGGCUGGUGCACUGCGGCCGGCACACCACGCUGAUCCGAUGCCAGGAGCCAGGUGCUUUUUCUGGUCUCCCAUGGGGUGCAGGGCCCAAGCACUUGGGCCAUCCUCCACUGCAAUCCCUGGCCACAGCAGAGGGCUGGCCUGGAAGAGGGGCAACCGGGACAGAAUCCGGCGCCCCGACCAGGACUAGAACCCGGUGUGCCGGCACUGCUAGGUGGAGGAUUAGCAUAGUCGGUUUCACAAAGACAUAAAACAAAGUUUUACAAACUGUAUUUGCAGCAAUACUGAUACACACAAACAUUUCUUUCUGUUUGAUUCCCUGAGAUGCCUCCCAGCAGUGUCUAAGUGUUCAUUUUCCCCCACAUCCUUUGUAGCAUUUGUUACUCCGUUGUUUGGAUUUCCGCCAUUCUAAUAGGGGUGAGGAGAUUAUCCCCUUGCAGUUUUGAUUUAAAUUUCCCUGAAGCCUGGAGAUGUUGAGCAUUUUCCCGUAUGUUCAUUUGCCAUUUGUAUUUCUUCUAUCUGAGAAUUGUCUGUUGAAAUCCUUUUCCAUUUCCGAACUGGAUUGAUUUUGUUGUUGUUGACUGUUUUAAGUUGCAUGUAUAUUUGGGAUAUUAAUCCUUUGCAGAUAGAUGGUUUGCAACUAUUUUUUCCAUUCUGCUGGAUGUCUCUCCACUCGAAUUGUCACGUCCUUUGUUUCCGAGUUCGAUAUAGCCCUAGUUCCUUAGUUUUACUUUUGUUGCCUGUGCUUCGGGGUUCCCAUCCAAGAAGUUGUUCCUACACCAAUGUCUUUGAGAGUUUCCCUUACGUUUUCUUCCAGCAACCUCAUAAUGUCCAUAAUGUCAGGUCUUAAAUUGGGUCUUUGAUGCAUCUUCAGUUGAUUUUUGUAUGUGAAGAGAGAUGCGGAUCUACUUUCGUUCUUCUACGUAUAUGCAUCCAGUUUUGCCAGCGCCAUUUUGAAAAUAUUACCCUUAAUUCCACUGUGUGGUCUGAGCACUUUUGUCAGAAGUCAACUGGCUAUCUGUAUGUGGAUUAAAUUCUGGGCUCGCUGUUCUGUUGCAUUGAGCUACAUGUUGGAUUUUCUGCCAUUACUGAGCUGUUUUAAUUACUGUAACUUUGUAGAAUGCUUUGAAACAGAGUAUUAUGAUUUAUCCAGGUUGGGCUUUCUUACUCUAGAUCGCUCCAACUAUUUGUGGCCUUUUGUGAUUCCAUAUGAAUUUUCUUUAAGGAUUUUAUUUAUUUGAGAGGUAGAGUUACAGAUAGUGGGAGGGAGAGACUGAGAGAAAGGUCUUCCCUUUCCCUGGUUCACUACCCAAAUGGCUGCAACGUGUUAUUGUUGCUAUACCAUAUUCAGCCAUAUUGGAUCUGUUGUAUAUUUUCUUGGAAAUGAGAUGAUUUUUUUCAAAGUGAACGAGUAUUUGUAUACUUUUAGUAUUAAUGCCUAUAUGUAACUUACAGUGUAAAAUGGGAGAGAAAUACAGAGGAUAUACAAACAGCAUUUGAAAAAUAAAAAAAAAACUGAUUUACCAUCAGCUGUUCUUCAAACUAACUACAUUUUUUUUUCAUUUAAAAGGAGGCCAGCAUGCCCUAUACUUAAUUUAAUCAGAUAAAGCUUUUCUUUCAUUGUGUGAGCUUACAGGCUUGUUGUUGUUUAUUCAGCAAAUCCUUGAGUGUCUAUGUACCCCACUUCCACUAGGAGCUCUUCAGAAAUUCACAUUUUUGGAGAUUAAUCACACAUAAGGAUGUUUUUGGUAUAGUCUUGUGAAUAAGUAACAGAUUCUCUGUAUAAGUUCUCUUGGGUGGCAGAUAACUAAGUGGGAGUGUGGAGGAGAGAGAAUGAAACCUUUUUUCAGUUUCCUGUGGGCUCGAUUCCUUUUAUUAAAUUAUAAUCAGUCAGAAACAUGGGAACGUGAGUAACUGCUUGUUUUAGUUUUGAGUAAUGCAUCUCUGUAGAAUAAACAGGUGCAGUGGAAUACAGAAAAGGACUUUGGAGACCAGAACAGCUUCUUCCUCUAAAUGAGUCCGUUGUCUUUAUCAGCGCAGUGUUCUUGUGCACUAAUUUUACACUAAUUUUGUCAUUUGCUGUUUUUUCUCUGUGUGCUGCAUUUCAAAUUGAAAUGUUUCUUGUAUAUUUUUAGUAUAUUUUUGGUAAAGUUUUUAAGUGGACACCUUUAGAUUUUCCUAACAUCUUGUGGCUCAGUAGACACUCUAUGGUAUUUUAAUUGAUUUUCAGCCUUUUUUUUCUACUGAUACUGGCAGUUUUGCACAGACACUAUGAUAUGUUCUUGGUGCAUUAAUAGGAUGGUUUGAAAAUCCAUGAAACAUCAGUUGUUUUUGCACAAAGUUGCAUUUUUAAAAACAAGCGUUCAUAGAAGAACUGGAUUGUUAUUUUUAAUUUGUUGUCUUCUGUGGAACAGAAACUCCACCAAAACAGGUAAUGGUAAUGAAAUUUGUUUUUGCAUUUUUAUCCACCUUGUGUUCUUGUUGUCUAGAAUUGUCAUGACCCCUUGUAGCAUUUUAAUAAAUAGAUAAAUUUUAAAAAAGUGAGAUUGUCACACGUAGGGAAAAUACAGGUUUUCUUUAACAGUGCUUCUCAGUAUUCAGUGUGUAUAUUGAACAAACGGGGGUCUUGUUAAAAUGCAUAUUCUGCUUAGCACUUUGGGGCUGGGGCCCAAAGACCUGCCUUUGAACAGGAUCCCAACUGAUGGCCAUGCUGCUGGCUUUACUUGAAUAAUUUUGUCCUAGAGCAGCACUUUACAGUGAAAAUAUGAAUUAGUGCAAUCUGUAUGUUCACUUCCAGUAUCCUCAUUUGAAAAUGAUGUGAAAUCAACUUCAGUGGUUUUUUAGCCUAAUAUACCCAAAGUACUAUCAUUUCAACAUUUAAUUGAUAUGCUGAAAACUAUUAAGGGGUUUCUUUACUUUUUUUGGGACCACAGUGUUUAAAAUCCAAUGCUUAUUUUUGCAUUUACAGCCCAUUUUGGCUUGGGCUAGUCACAUGUAGUGUGUCCAGCAUGUCACCCAUGAUUGGUAGUGGCCACUGGCUGGGACAGUACAGUUCUGGAGUGUACUAUCUAGAUUUGCCACUCACUUGUAGUUCUAUAAAGAAAGUUUGAUGUGCCUGAUUUCUGUUGUACUCUAUUUAUGCAAAGCAAGGUCGGGAUUGAUGGGACCUUGAGCUAUAGAGUGCAGCUCAUCUUAAUUUUAUUCUUUGUAAGUGCGCAUUCACUAUAGAAGACAUAGACAAUACAGGGAAUGGAGGAAAAAUAAAAUCACAUCAAAUCCAGUCAUUGAGUCAGUUGCUAAUUUUCCAUAAGAGGAGAUUUUUAAGCCAUGAAGUACUAGGGUUGUAUAAAACCUUUCCAGAUCACUUUAUAAAACUUGUUUUACACCCCUGUAUUUAGUAUUUACAUAGUGGAUUCAGCAAAGAGUUAAUGUUGACAGUGUCAAUCUGAGGGGACUGACCAGGAGUACUUUUAGUGUUCAGGGACUAGUAAUACCUACCUGUACCCUUAACUAAUAUGUGAAGUAGUCUUUUAGUUAGGUUUAAGUUCGAGUGCCUGUACUUUGAUUACACUGGGCACACUCUUGAGUUUUUGUAUAUAUUGUCUUGUGAGUGUUACAAAUUUGGCUGAAAUCCUGUGUAUAUAAUACUUUUAAAGUAGUUAAUUAAAUGCUUGGUCAUUAAUGCCAUAAAUUAUUAGAUUUAUUCAACUGGAUGUACAAUGUCAAGGAAGAAUCAUUUGUUAUUACUUGGGACUCUGGCACCCAAUAUUGGAAUGCCUGGUUUGCAAGUUCUGGUUCCACUCCCAUAUCCUGGGUGAGGUUGGAUCACUGCCAUACAUGCGGCAUACCUGGCUUGGAUAACUAUCUUAGUUUUCUUCACCAUCAUCUCCCUAGACCCACAAACAGUGUGAUUUGCAUCUGCAUUAAGUAGUCGAGUUAAUGUCCUGGGGCCAAGCCAUCUAAUGCCCAGCAGUAGAACUAAUGCUUGACAGCAGAGACGAUUCUACCUGCUGUUAGCAAGACAGUCAGUGUGUGUAUAUUUGACAAAGGUAGGUAGUGAUGGAACAAGGACGGAAGCCUCAGCCAUUUUAGGUAUCUGUUCCCCUUACCUUCUUUCAGGGGACCAAUUUAGUCUCACAACGUGCUGUUCUCCACCCCACCCCCUGCAUUCUGCCCCAUGUUUGGAAGCCAGGGGGCCAAACUUGAAAAACUUGAUUGGAGAAGCUUACCUCUACUUACUGCCCCCCCCCACCCCUAGUGCACCUAAGAUACAAAAAGGCCCAGCCAAUUGGGGUCUGGGCACCCUGGUGUAUAUUGUGUGUGUGUGUGUGUGUAUGUGUGUGUGUGUGUGUGUGCACGCACGCACAUGCUGGCAUUUGGUCACCAAUCUCUGCGGAUUUAUUUUCUUUGGAUAAGCUUUGUCUGGCUAUGAGUUCGCAUUCUGUCUUUUCUCUGAUCUGCGCCCUUUUGCUUAUAUUUGGUGCCCCGUGUGAGAAGCAAAGGGAGGAGCCGGCAUCUUGCCCCAGUCUGCCACUCUAGUAUUCUCUGGGUGAGAGCUGUGACCCCCCCCACCCUUCAUCUGGACAAAUUCUUCCCCUUUUUAGUGUCUCCACCCGCCCCUAACCUUCUCUUUCCUACAAUCGCCUUUUUCCCUUCUGACCUGGAAGACCCUAUUCCAGAACAUUUUCUCACUCUCGCUUGUACUUCUCAUUUUGAGCGAAUUCACAGCCAGAGCCUUUGCCUGAUCUCAUCAUCACAUGCCCACAUCGGACCUAGUCUUCAGCCCAUCAGAUUGGUAAGAGAGGUCACUCUUCACCGCAUGCCUGCUGGGGCGAUGCUCGUGACCAGUUCAUCCCCCCUCGUAGGGCCUGGGUGUUUAGUUGGUUUCUAUCUCUGUCUCCUCUUAGAGGACUCAGGACUUAAGUUCUCGGUUGAGGUGAUUCUUUCCCAGGGAAGCCCUGCUACAAGAACCUGUUCCCUCAGGCCAUAGUUUGUUUAAUCCAUGGGCUCCAAAUUUCAACUCCCUUCUGGCCUGUCUCUGAAAAGACUUGCACAAGCUGGGCCUGAAGGGGGAGACAAAGCCAAAGCUGUUACUCCACCUCAGCACGAAUUUGGUGGUUUUUUCUUUUUUUUGUCUCAAAAUUCUCCAAGAUUUUAAUACUUACGUAGAGAAAAGGCAGAUGGUCAGAAGCCCCUAUUCCAAGCCUUUUUCCUCCAUUGGGGUCAACUUUCCUCACUCUGAUUUCUCAUGGAGGAAGAAGGCCUGGAGCCACCCCUUAAAUCGUCAGCCUGCCCACCCCAUCCUUUCUCCCGCACCUGAUAAGCUGGCCUCUCGGGAACACAGGCCUUUGCUCACUCCAUUCCCCUUCUUUCUCUAGCGCCUCCUUUUCCCUCUCCACUGGCAACAAGGAAAGUUACCACCCUUCCAACUUCUUCUCCCCUGAAUUCUCUUUCUCCUGCUCUUCCUGAGGGAGCUAAAACUCUCUGUAAGCUCUCCUCCCCUCCCUCAUAUCAUCCUCUCUGAGAUCCUGGCCCAGGAGUGUGACCCUCCUCCCUGCCCACCCCAGGGUCCUCCCAAGCGUCCAUCUGGUGAUUCCUGUCUGGCUGACCCACCUGAUUCCCAUUCAGUAAGCCUCCUCUGACGGCAGCUUUUCUCAUUCCAAGCCCACAAACCAGAGAAACACUUGGAAUCUCCCCUCGCACCCUCGACUUUCCCUUCCACUGUUCUCUCAAGGAUGCUGCAGCCUCGGGACCAUGACUCUCUCCUUACCCUUGUCCCCUGUCUGGCUCUUAACCACUCCUGUCACCGGCAGCCAAAACUGCCUCUUUCCUCUCUUCCUGACCUCUCCUCUCCAGUCUCCUUUGCCAGUCCAGUCCCUCCCCCUGGGCGUAGAUAGAUAGUCUAAAGUCUAGCAGAAUGUGCAUUGCUCUGGAAAGCUCUGCAACUGAGACAUGCCAAGCUCCAAAGACAAUGCACUGUCAACUUCAACUAGGAGCCUUUCUCACUUCUGCCCACCUUAUCAGGGUCCGUGUGGUGCUCAGCACCUCCCCCAACAAGAGCUUAAGAAAGGACUCUGCCUGCUGCUCAGGUGCAAUGAAGCCUGACUUCAGCACCACCACCCACACUCCCACACUCCACCCUCUGUCUCACAAGCUCAGCCCCUGCUCUCUUUACAGUACCCCCCCUUCUGUCCUGACUAAAAUAAAAUAGUCAUUUCUACCUGUCUCUUCACCCUCCUAUGAACCCUAAAAUCCUAAAAACUAAAUGUAAUGGAGCUGCACCUCACAUUUCUCCUCUCACAUCUAAGUUCUCUGUUGCACAAAGACAGAACCUCUGCUCCAGCCAUCUCUAAUAAUAUAUUUUGCAGAACUGAAAAAAAAAACUGAGGCGCAGUAGUAAGUCCUGAGCAACUUUGUUCCAAAGAAUGCUCCAUGCCUCGUUGUCUUCCGUCUUUUCCCCUCCGUUGUCUAGUGGCAGACAAAAAUCUCUCUGCUACUAACAAACUGUUUUGUCGUUCUCCCUUGUACUGUGUCAUAUGUAUGCACGUAUUGUAUGUCUUCAUGGAAAAUUCAUUAACAGCUCCCUGUUUCAAUUGGGUUACACUUGUGUUAGAUAUUUGAGAAGUAUUUCCAACUGUAUGCACUCUUAAAAUGGGUUGAAGGCAUUGGACCUUUCAGUACAUGUUUUCACAAGUUAUUUGACAGCUAAAAUUGUUUGCUAAGUUUUCACUGGAUUUUAAGUUACUGACAGUAAGCAAUCUGGAAAGCCUGACUUGUUCCCUCAUUUCUCUAGUCUCUUCAAGAUGGGAAACUGAUUGUAUUCUGCAGAACUCCCCAUCAGGGUGUACAGUUUGAUCUUCAGACCUUGUAUUAGACAGUUUGGAUAGGGUAGUCUUAAUGUUUUGAUCUUACAUGGAAGAACAUAAAUCUCCUCAUUGGCAUCAUCUUACCUCACGGGAAGAAUAUUGUCGUAACAUGCCUGUGACUGUAGAUUUCCAGCUCAGGCCACCAAAGAUUAGGCACGGGAUUGAGCGCCCCCUUGGCUGACAUUCCUAAAGGCUGCUUCUGUGUUCUACUUCAGCAGAGACCAGGAGAAAGAGGAGUGAGUGAGGCAUCAGGAGCAAUGUAAGGAUAGGUGGCAGGCCAAUUAAUGGCCGCUUUACACCAUGAUCUGCCAUCAAGGAGACCCAAAAAGGCCAGUCCACCCUUGAAUGGCACCUGUUUAGGAAAUGAGGAGUCAGGGCAUUGGGCAAGUAGCUGUCAUGAAGAGCCCCGUCGGCUCUGACAAGAGCCAGGCCACUGGAAACGGAACUGCCCUCGGGGUUGAAGGACUCCUGGGUCAGAACCGCAGAACCUGUUGGCCCCAGGCUAAAAAGCAUUUCACUCUGCCCAGCUCCCAGAGUAACCACCGCCAUCAGGAGGACAGCCUAGGGUCAGUACCAAUUUAGGCAGAUGCCACCUAUUCGAUACUAACCUCCUAUUCAGGCCAGCCCUCCUCCCCGGCCAGCAAGGUGAUGGAAGUCAACGGGGUGUCUUCCCUAGGAGGUUCACACCUCCCUUACUAUGUCUCAUCCAGGGCUACAUGUGAAGAGACACACAGGUCUGGACCUCACAGAUUCCUUGGCCGUGCCUCAAAACACACCUAAUUAUUACUGAACCCUUUCUGUCAGUUUCCGUUUGUGUCUCAAUGGGAAAACUCCCUCCUUUCUUAGAUCCUGGAACAAUGACUCUGUCCUGUGGUUUGCACCCUGUGUAUCUAAUCUGCUUGUUACACACCCUACACAAAACGGAGCGGUCAGGCAUAAACCUGUCUUCCCAUGCAUUGGACAGGACUCUUGCUUUCCUGUAUCCCCCAUUGUCCUCAUUUCGGCAUCGUUCCCACCAUGUUUCUGAUUUGUCUUUUUAUCCUCGUAAUCAUUGUCUGCCAUUCCUACCAUGUACAACUAACAUGUUUCAAAACCCCUUACAGGAGGGUUUGACUGCAGGAGCAACACAAGGCUGCUUGCUCUCUCCUUCUCCAAUCAAUCCGAUCCAGUGUAUAGAUACCCUGCCCCACGUCUACGCCCCAUAUCAGCAGGAAGUAGCCAGAAGGAAACCGGCGCCCCAUCUCUUUAUCUAUACUCAAAAUCAGGAUUGAUGGUACAAGAACAGAUGCCUCAGCCAUUUUAAAAAAGCUCUGGUUGCUCAUUCGUUCUUUCAAGAGACCAGUUUCGUCUCGCAUCCUAUUGUUCUUCCCCUCACCACCUGCACUCUUCCCCAGCUUUGGAAGCCAGGAGGCCAAACUUGAAGAACUUGUAUAGAGACACUCAUCUCCACCCACUGCCACCCACACCCACCCUGAGCCCACCUAAGGUAUAAAAAGGCCCUUCCUACUGGGGUCUGGGCCCUCUGCCACGUGUUCGGUCAGUGCUCACUGGCAGUUUGUCCAACUCUGGGAGUUUCUUUUCUUUGGCUAAAUUCAAUCUGUCUGUGAGUCUUUUUAUUCUGACUGCUGUUGAUCUGCACCCUUUUCCUUACAUUUGGUGCCCCGUGUGAGGAGGCACUGCUCUGCACCCCUUUUCCUUACAGUUAGCACGAGACUUUCUGUUCAGUCUUUACUUCAAAGUUUGUAUGAAAAUAUGUCAGAAACAGCCUGACACUUGGCAGCUUCUGCAAGGUUCUGGCCUGUUCUGUAGUCUGUGUGUGUGUGUGUGUUUGUGUGUGUGUGUGUGUGAGAGAGAGAGAGAGAGAGAGAGAGAGUGGCUGAAGUCAAAAAGCAGACUAAUACUAGUAAGAUUAUGUUUCUCUGGGGUGUUUUGGGUAGGAUGCUAAGUGAUGAAAAAAUUUUUUUGCACUUAAUGGUUGACUUUUGAAAACCGGUGUUUUGCUUUUAUUUAAUUAAAAGACAAAAAGGCACAGUACAGAGAGUGAUAGAGUGAUGGGGACCUGGGAGUCUUCCCUCCACUGGUUCACUCCCUAAAUGAUUGCCAUUGCCAGGGCUCGCUAGAGCAAAAGCUAUGAGCCUGGAACUCCGUUGAGGUCUUCCGUGUUGGUGGGAGGGCUCGACUAUUGAGACAUCUGCCUUGCUGAGCGCAUUAGCUGGAGGCUGGAUCAGCAGUGGAACAGCUGGAGCUUGAACCCGUGCCCUUCUGGGAUGCUGGCAUCACAGGCCGUGGUUAAUCUGCUGUGCCUCAGUGCUAGCCCAAGUGAGGAGCAGUUAUGCAGAUAGGACAGUUUCCAGGUUCAUAGAAGUGUCUGCCUGUCGAUUGUGGAGAGAUGCAUUCUGGUUUGGGAUGGCUAGGGAAGUAGGAAUGUAGAGUGAGAUAAGUUGAAAGGAGUAGGGUUCUCUGUGACCUUCUGCCUUCUCUCUAGGUUUUGUGCUGGUUUCUGUUCCUGCUGUCUCUUGCUCCUUGGAAUUAAUCAGAACCAUUUGUGUUUACUGCUGAAUACACAAGUACUUGAAUUGAAUCUGUUAUCAGGAGACACUGAUUUGAUAAAGGCUACUAAGUGUUCAUUCAUGAAAUUUCCCUUUUAAAACUCUAGGAUUAAUGAUUUAGGUUUUGCAUAGUUUUUAAAUACAAUGUAUAUGACUUAAGUUAAUAUUUUAGCCCUCCAAAUGUCCCAUUUAAUUUGAUCUGGAUUAGUUUUAUAUAUGCCCCAGCAUGUACAUUUUUAAGCUUUAAAAUUUGGUCAUACUGCACAGAUGCACAUGCAGAGUUGUCAUUUUUUAUCCAAGCCUAAAUGUAAUUUUGGUUUGAAUUUGUCUCCUAUUUAGCUCCAAUCUACUUUGGUUAAAUCUAGUUUUAUGUCUUUUUGCAGUUAGCAUUUUCUUUUUAUCUCUGAACACCUUAAUUGUGAAAACCUUUCGAUAUUCACCUCUUUGGAUGAUACAGAGGUCUCUGCCCAUUGGUCCAAGUCUUUAUAUAAUUAAUAUGUAAUAUAAAGCUUUUAUAUUGACUUUUACUUGAUCUGCAUUUUUCUUACAAGUACAAUAAACUUUCUAAUGUACUAGGAUUCAAUUCUCCCUUACAAAGCUUUAUAUGUCCUGUUUUUGUGUUUGCAUAAGUGUCUGUGACUGUUUUUGUAAUUCCUUGUCUGAGGCUACAUGUGGGGACAUGCCUGAAGAAUGGCUUCUUUGUUGUUGUUAAAUAUUUAUUCAUUUGAAAGGUGGGGUUACAGAGAGGCAGAGAGAGUGAGAAAACUGGUUCAUUCCCCAAAGGGCUGCAAUGGCCAGAGCUGUGCCAGUCCAAAGCCAGGAUCCAGGGUUUCUUCUGGUCUCCCACGUGGAUGUAGGGACCCAAGGAUUUUUGUCAUCUGCUACUGCUUUCCCAAGUCGUAGCAUAGAGCUGGAUAGGAAGUGGGGCAGCCCGGACUCAAACCAGCACCCAUGUGGGAUGCCAGCACUGCAGGCAGUGCCUUUACCAGUUUUGCUACAGCGCGGGCCUUGGGAAUGGUUUCUUGAAGUGUGUGUGUGUGUGUGUGUGUGUGUGUGUAAAAAGAGAGAGAGAGAGAGAGAGAGAGAGAGAGAGAGAGAAUAAUAAAGAUUUUUUUAUCCACUGAUUCAUUCCCUGGAUGACCACAAUGGCCAAGCCAAAGCUACAAGCCAGGGACCCAUUCCAGAUCUCCCACAUGGGUGGCAGGAGUCCAAGCACUGGGGUUGUCUUCUGCCCUCCUAGGUGCAUUAGCAGGGAGCUGAAUCAGAAGCUGAAGAGCCAGGAUUCAAAACUUUAAGUCCCAUAUGGGAAGCUGGUGUCCCAAAUGCAGCUUAACCCUCUGAACCACACCUCCAGAUCCACUCAGAUUUAUCCAGUAUCAGACAGAAUCAACUUUGUAUUACUGAUCGUUAAUCUCAUUUUGACAUGAAAUGUGCACUAGUAAUGUCUCAGGGAAUGCUGAUAAAUUGGUGUUUGGAAAGCAAUAUGGAAACAGAUCUCAAGAAUGCAAGGUUCAAAAGGAAGAUUGAGCUAAGGGAUCAGAAGAUUGUUUCUCAGGCCCAUAAUUUAUCCUCCAAGAAAGUAGAAUUAGCAGACAGCAAGUAUCCCCAUCUGUUACAGAAUAACACUUCCAUGUUGUCUGUUGGCAAGGGUUUUUCGUGAGGGGAUUUUCCAUGAGCUUUCUGAAGUUCACAUGCAUGGAUUUAAAAAAAAAUCGCACCUUCAAGUUGUCCCAAAUGAUGACCUGAUUGGGAACAACCAAGAGAGUCAAGAUAUAAGUUUGAAUCAAAACGUCAUCACCAACAGCAAAUACAUCAACUCCCAAGAGAGUCAGUUUAAAAAAGAGACUUAAUUUAAGCUCAAGUCGUAUUCCAAAACUGAUUAUCAAAAAGGUGAAUUGCUCAGGAAUGAAACCAGAAGCAUGCAGUAUGUUUCAAAAUGUGAAAAAAAUGCACCAAAGUAAAUAUGUAAAUGUCAUUUUACAAAAACUUCAUGAAGUACUCUUGUAUUUCUAAUUGUUUUAAUCUUUAUUGGAACAUAAGCUCUGUGAGAAGGCAGAACAUUUUGUUUUGUUCAACAGGGUGUUAGAAGUGCCUAGCACAUAGUAUGUGCUCAUAAACAUCUGUUAGCUUCAUUGAAACACAGAAUUAGCCCCAGGCCUAGCGUUAAACACAGUUAAUUAGAUGGUUCUAUAUUGAAAACAGUGCAGUCCUAGGUGCAGAAAGAAAUUUGUUCGGAUUUUCUUCCCGUGUAACAAGUCAUCCCAAACAUUGUGGUUUAAAUGGUACUUAUUAAUUUGCCACUAUUUGGGGGAAGGCUGGGAGGUUCUUACUUGGAGUCCUUGUGUGUAUAGUCUGGUGGUUGCUGGGCUGACGGUUCCUUCAUCACGAGGCUGUUGACAGUUGGGAGAAGGUAACCAUAUCUUCCUCCAGGUGGUGUCUCUACUUGGCUCACUUUCGCUUCCUCACAACAUGGGCAGUAGGUGUGAUUUCUUACACCAUAGCUGGAUCCCCAUAGAGCCAGUGUUAGGAGAGGCCCAGGUGUCUUGCUGCCUUAGAAGCCUUAAGAUCAUUUAUGCAUGUUCCAUGAAGGAAAGAAUUCAUCUACUCACAGGAUAAUAAACUCAUGAUGUUAUAGACAAAGUGACCUGAACAGAAUGCCAUGGAAAAUAUGGAGCACAUAGUACUGAAUGGUAAUUAGGAUUAAGAACGGUGUGUCUGGUUAGAUUGCCCUGGGCAAGUCCUGACUUCACCCAUACACCAGUUAUCUUUGACACAUUUUGGCCAUUUCAGGUAUAAUUUCUUACCCAUAAUAGUGAAUAAGCCCAUUCAAAUUGCAUCAUUAGUUCUUCUGCCAUUAGGCAUGUUUUGGUGGGAAAUUUUAAGACUCUUUAUAAAAGGAACAUGGAAGCUGAUAUAAUCAAACUAAUUAAUUGUAUUUGGAAUAUUGUAUUUCUAGUCACUUUGGCCACUAAUUGGCUCUUUAAAAGUGGAAUGAACUAGUGAUUGGUUGGUUGAAGUUUUAGAAUGUAGGGAGAUGAUCCUUCUUGUCUUUGGCCUUGGCUGCAUGAAUUAUGGUGCAAAAAUGCUACAAAAUCAUCCCAUCACUGAUUUACUUGAAGUUUACUAUUAGAUAAAUUUAUUACAGAUCAAUCCCUCCUGAUGUUUAGAUCUCUGUUCUUUAAUGCUAGAAGUGUAUUCAUCAGUGAGCCUGAAGAAAAUUAUACUUCUUUGCAAUGAAUUCUGCUAUCACUCCAGAUUCAUCCUGUUAGCCAUCUGAUGCAAUGUUGAAUGGGUUUUCUGAAUCAAUGCCGGUUUCCUGGAAGCCAAACUAUGUAAACGCUUUCAAAGUUAGAACCUGUACCUGUUGUUCUUAUGAAGCCAGGUUCCAUUGGUUAGAUUCUGGAUAUGUGAAAGUGAAGAAUUUGGAGCUUGUUUUGGGGACCAUUUCCUAAUCUUAUGCUGAAGCAUCAAUUCUGUUUGUACUAAGUUUAUUUCAGGUAGUAAUAUAUCUGCCUUUUCUUCAUUUAACUUGAUCUUAGACAGCAAGGCAUUCUGAUUGUUGAGUGUUACUCUGUUUUUUUUUUUUUUUUCUUAUUACCUCUACAUUCUUCUCUAAUAACGAAGUGCCAGAGGAGGCUCACCGAAAUAAAAAUCAAAGGACUGUUUUCAUUUUCUAAUACUACCAGUAAAUCGUCUGUUCACAUAACCAUCAGUAUUCCACCUUCUGCUUGGCAUAUUUUGAGGGAAACAUGAAGGGUUUUAAAAAAUCGUAAGAGCAUUCAAGUACCAGUCAUUCUUAACAAUAGAAAGGAGAUAGAUACUGUUGUUUUACAGUUUUGAAGAAGUUAGAGUUCCAAAAUGUUUAAGUUGUGCUGGGGAUAUUAUAGGAGAUGUACAUAGACUUUUCUGCGCCUGGUCAUGAAUAUUUUUCAGACCAAGGAUGUGACUUCUGUUCCUCUUGCCUCAUUCUUUUAAAUGUUAUAGUUGUUUUCAGUCUUUCUCAGUGAAUGUUCUUAUUCCCAACUCCCCAUACGUAUGUUCCACCCAGUAUCCAUGUUGACCCACAUUUUUUGCCUUUAAAGAGAGUUACCAUCAAGGAGGAUGAGCAGACCAGAGUCAUUGUAGUGGCCAGAUUCAUGAGGAGUGGUAGGAAUCUAAAUGAUAAUUGUGUACACACAGGCCACCACGGAUGCUUUGUGUGUAGUAUUCCCAAGGUGGAAUUAAGAGCAUUACAGUCUUUUGAUAGAAUACAACCAAAGUACUAUGAUACAGUUGUCUCUAUUCACAUGUGGGAACUUACUCAAAGAAGUGGUAGAAAAAUCUAACUGCAGGGUCUUAGUGCAGGCUUUGAAAGGAAGAUUCACAGUCAUUUCAGUGUUGCUGAUGUGAAAAGUACUUGUGAGACUACACAGCAUUUAGAAUCAGUAUUUUAUAAAACUUGUUAUUCAAAUUUCUAGACAAAGACGUAAUGCUGGAGUCAUUCCAAGUGUUAUAUUGUCAUUGUCCAUUCGUGGAGACGUGCAUGGAAUCAGGAGCCUGAAAAGAGUGUUGGUCUCUUUAAGAUCCUUCAGUGGGGCAACCAAACCUUGUUUCAUUAUGGAAACAAUUGCGAAGGACAGCUUCUGAUUUCCCAAAUUUCAUGUCAUGGAGCUUAUUAUUCAUGUCAGUCAUGAACUCUGGGAAGUGACAACAAUCCCAGUGGUGAGUUAAAGGCCUAUGGAAGUGAUACAGAUUUGGGAAAUCUGAGAAUUUGUUUUGAAGUUGAGAUAAAGAAUUGACUCUGUGUAUAUCAGAUGUUUCAUACUUUGUUUUUAAAAACAGAAUAGUUAAUGUUUUUGUAGGAGUAGAUAGCAUGCAAGGAUCCAAACUUGAUAACAUAUGUUAGAUGUUUUUGUAAAAUCUGCUUUGGUUUUCAGUCAUUUACUGUAUUUCACUGCCUUUUCAUGCUUGUAAAUUAAUUAUUCAACUGCUAGACAACCUUUAUAACUUUAUGUUUUACAUAAUUAUCAUCUGUUCUGCUUCAGAGUAAGAUCGUACUCCACCCAAAUAAGAAGCAAUCAAAGAAAUUAAAGCAAAUACCAGCUAAAUUCACAUAAGUGAAUGCAAGAGGCUCAAGGAUUUGUAAGUACUGAUCUGGCAACAUCUAAGUUGCUGCUGGCACAAAACUAUCUAUUUGUAUUAUUAGAAGGAUAUAAUAUAAAUCUUUGUUAAUGAAAAACUCAGGAAGGAGGUCAUUAAAUAGAAUUAAAUACUUCCUCAACAUACAUACCACUUACUUGCUGAUCGGUAUUGGGAAAUACUGAAACUGGCCUAUCGUAAAACUUUUGGUCCCAGGGAACCCAAGGUCUUGUAGGUCCAUUUGAUUAAAGACUUUCUUGUUUGAAAGGCAGAGUUGACAUGGAGAUUUUCCAUCUGCUAUUUCACUCCCCAAAUGGCCACAGUGGAAAGGGUUAGGCCAAAGGCAGAAGCCUGGAACUGCAUUCAGGUCUCCCAAAGUGGUGCACGGACCCAGGCACUUAGGCCCUCAUCAGCUGCUUUCACAGGCAGAUUAGCAGGGAGCUGGAAUGAAGUGGAGCAUUGGGACUCGAACCUGUGCUCAUAGGGGAUGCUGGCAUUGUGGGAUGCGGCUUAACCCACCAAGCCAUAGUGCCAGCUCCUAUCAGGUCCAUUUCUAAAACAAUGGAGAUCUUUUGGGAAAAUCACUUUGGUCAGACCUGCUUGGUAAGGUAAUCCCAACAGAGUUCCUUUCCUGCUGCUCCACUGCUCGACUGCCUGCAACUGCUGGGGCUGGGUCAGGCCAAAACUAGGAGCCGGGAACUCAAUCUAAGCCUCCCACGUUGGUGGAAGGGAACCCGAUGACUGAGUCAACAUCUACUGCCGCCUUGUGUGUGCAUUAGCAGGAAAUUGAAUCAAAAGUGGUGCUUGGUAAUGCAUGGAAUUUGGAUUUCAAACCAGAGUUUGGCUCCCAACUGCAUCACUUACUCUCAUAUGUCAUUAAAAAUGUUGUAAUCUGGUGUGCCGUCAUUCUCCUGUUUUCUCCAUUGCAGCUUUACAUUCUAGUCAUCUACUGGACCCUCAUCCACCCAGUCUUCCACCAUUGCGCCACCAUCCCUCCUACUCUAUGUUAGCUUCAACCUAAUUGAGGGCCUACAUACUUGCCUCCCACUCCGUCCUCUCUAUAUAUCCUCCCAUUCCUUCUGGCCCGCCAACAACAUUGGACUCACUUUCCUCCCUCCUCCAUACCAGCCUCAUCAUCCCGGUUGGUCCUGCACACCAGCCUCACCCUCUUGUGAAGGCCAGCCUCACUCUACCUCUGGCCCACACAAACAACCACACCUUAUCCUCAUCUUCCACCUCCGUUGUAUUUCCCUUGUUUCCCCGCUACAACUGCACCCUUCCUCUAGACUUCCACAUCCGUUUCAUCCUUACAGUUUUCUACCAUAUCCUCAACCUGUCUGUGGUACUCUACAGCAGCCUCAAUCUCUUUGUGGGGCCUGCAUCCUGGCCUCCCACUCUUUGUAAUUCACACUGGGUUCAGCUUCCUUCUGGCUACCAUACUAGAAUCACUUUCCUUCUGACCCUCCAGCCAACCCUCACUCUCCUGGCCCUGCACACCAGCCUCACCCUCCCUCUGGUCCUCAGUACCAGCCUCACCUCCCCCCAACCCUCCAUGCCACUCCAGCCUUACUCUCCUUCUGUUGGUCCACUAUAGCCUCGCUCUUCUAGCCCUCCAUAUGGGUUUCAUCCACCAAAUCUGCCAUAACUUCACCUUUCCUGUGGUACUCUACACCAGCUUCAUCUUCCUUGUGGGCCUCCAUCCUGGCUUUGCACUGCUUGUAUGCCACUGUGACUUCCAACUUCCUUCUCAUCCUCAGUGCCACCCUCUCCCUCCUCAUCAUCAAUGCCACCCUCACCCUCCUCAUUUCUCUAUACCAGCCUCGCAUUUCUAUUCCUUGACACUGUCCUCACCUUCCUUUUGUGGCUCAACCCUGGGAUAACCCUUGUGGUGAUUCCCCCACCUAAGGAUCGCUUUCUCUCUGGUCUUCUAUUUAGUUGCUACCCUCCCUGUAGCCAUCCACCUAAGCCUAGCCUUCACUGUGGUUCUCAACACAAGCCUUUCCUUUGGACUUCCAUGAUAGCCUCACAUCCCUCCUAGUCCUCCACACCAGUCUCAUUGUCCUGUUUCUCCACUGCAGCCUUACCCUCCUUUGAGUCCUCCUCUUGUGCCUCACCUGCCAACUCUUCUUUCAUGGCCUCACCUUUCCUGCUGUGCACUACACCAGACUCAACCACCUUGUAGGCUUCCGUCCUGGCCUCCAUAUUGCCCUCUCUUUACAUCUAUCUGUUCCACCUCAUUAGACAUACUUUCCUUUAGACUCUGCAGCCCAGCCUCAGCCUCAACCUCACCAGCAGAUGGAAGAACCAGCAAUGGAAUGUCCGUCUCCCUCUCCCUCUCCCUCUCCCUCUCCCUCUCCCUCUCCCUCUCCCUCUCCCUCUCCCUCUCCCUCUCCCCCCCACCCCUCUUUCCAAAGAAAUCAUUUUUUAAAAAAGAGAGAUCGGAUUCAGGAGCUGCAGGCAAGGAUUAAACUCAGGUAUUCAGGAUGCUUGUUUCCCAACCACUGGACUAUAUGCCUGCUCCAUUUUGUAACAUUUUCACUGUUGUUUGUUUAGUAGUUGCCCUUGAGUUUGCAACAUGCAUUUACAGCUAAUCUCAGUCUGUUUUCAAAUAUUCUGCUUCCUGGAUACUGUGAGUGCCUCAUAAUAACAAAAUAUUCCCCAUCUCCUCCCAUUCCUUCAACCCUCAUGCAUAUUUUCCUUGCAGUGAUAGAAAAAUAUAUACACAUGUAAUAUGUAAAUAUGAAUAUAUAUGAAUAUUAUGUAUGCCAUUUUUGUGUAUGUAUUGCAUAAAUAUAGCUUAAAAUCAUAUAUGAUCUAAUAUGUUGCUAUCAUUACUUUCAGCAAUCCCAUUAGUAAAUUAAAAAUAAGAAAAAUAAAAUUUAUAUUUUACUGUGAUUUUUCUUUUUUUCUCUCAUGUUCUUCCUUUUUAUGUAGAUCCAAGUUUCUGACCUAUAUGAUUUUCUUCCUCUCCAGAAAACUGUUCACAUUUCUUGCAAGAUAGUCUUCUGGCAACAAAAUGUAUAAUUUUUGCCUGCCAAACAUUUAUUUCUUCUUCACUUUAGAAAGACAAGUUUCAGGAUACUAAAUUUCAGUUUGGUAGUUUUUUCUCUCCAUGCUUAAAAUAGUUUUCUCCUCAGUUUUUCCUUGUGUGGUUUCUGAGGAGAAGUCAGAUGUGUUUGCUCCCCCAUGGAUUGUUUAUUCUGCACAAGCUGCAUUCAGGACUUGUUUACGGGAUACUGCUGUAUAUAGUGAAUAUCAACAAGCCUUUGGAGAAGUUUUUUUUUUUUUUUAAGGAAGUAUGGGAGGAGAUAUGGAUCAUUUUUUUAAAAACUGAGGACAAACAGACCUGUUUAGACUACAUACUUCUAAGUAAUGAAACUAAGAAUGGAUGUUGGUGAGCUACAUCAUGCAUGAGAUUUAAAAUAGCACUCUUAAUUAAAAACACAAUUUUUAAGAGCAUCGGUUAACAGAGAGCAUUGAAUUUGCCUCCACACUUUUUCAGUGUACUGCAAAGUAAGCAUUUUGGGCAAGGACCACAUGUCAGAUUUAUCUUUGAAUCUCUCUUGCCUGCUAAAGGUAGUGACAUGAUAGCCCUGAAUAUGUGCUUAAAUGAAUCCAUUAAGGAAUGCAUUCAUGCAUUAAAUUCAAAUAAAACCUCACGGUGUUUGAUGUCAGAAUUGUGUAACUAAAUAACGUUAGGUUCUAAAAUAUCAACAUGGUAUUUCACUUGGAGAAAACAUAGAUUAAUGGCUCUGAUUUUGAAACUACUUCUUUCUUUCUCAAAAAGUGCAGUAAACCUUGGGUGACAGUCAUGAAGCCUCUUCCUACUGCAGCUAAGUAACAUAGACCCACUAUGCCUCAUUUUCCUCAUUUGUAGCAUUGAUUUUAGGUUGUCUUGACAAACUACCAAGAGUUUUGCCGUACCAUUCUUGUUCGUUCUGGUUUGUCUGGUCUGCAAUGAUAUCUGUCACAGAUUUCCAAUCACUACUGGCAAACAUUUAGUUCACUUAGUUUAUGCAGAACAGUUACAGACUCUGCUGCUGGGAUAGAAAAUAUAUCUCAUUUAGAGUUUUACCCUGUGGAUACAAUUUGAAAUAGAAUGAAAACCAUUGGCAUAGAGUCCCUUUUAAAGGUUUACCUGUUGUAGAAGCAUUUGAAAGAAAGCAUAUUAAGGGCAAAGAUAAAUAUUUACUUAAAUUAUUAAAACAUCUUGAGAUUUUUUUGCUAUGGCCCUGAUGUCAUAAAAUUAUAUUUAAGCUAUUGUGAUAACUUUGAAACCAUAGACAUAGAGGUUAGUAUGCAUUGAGAGGUACAUAAUGUAUAUACUGUUAGCUUGCUUGAAUUAAAGGUAGCCAUUGUAUAUUUUAAAUUACUUUAAUGUUGAAAUUUGUAUGUAGUUUAGAAAAUGGAAGGUAUGGUCUGCUGAGAGUUGGCCUUAAUCCUCAAGUAGGUUGGCUUAUACUCAAUUUCAGGGAGACAACACACAUAUGCCUAGUAGGAUAACCCAAACAGUAGGCUUUGUAAGGCAAAAAGCCUAUGAAUAUCAUGGAGAAUAAGAAUUUCAGGCUUUGUUUUUAAUAUUUGUUAAUUUAUUUAUUUGAAAGGCAGCGUUACAGAGAGGCAGAGGCAAAGAAAGAGAAGUUUUCCAUUUGCUGGUUCACUCUCCAAAUGGCCACAACAGCUGGAACUGCAUCUAUCUGGAGCCAGGAGCUUCCCUCAGGUCUUUCAGGUGGCAUUUCACUGCUUGAUGUCUUUUGUGGAUAUAUCAUUCUUUGUACAUUCAGUUGGUGAAUCACAGUCAUAGGCCGUUUCCAUAUUUUAGCUAUUGUGAGUAGCACUGCCGUAAACAUGGAAAGGAGAUAUCCUUUUGACACACUGAUGUCAUAUCUUUUGGACAUAUACCCAGUAAUGGAAUUGCGGGAUUUUGCUCAGUUCUGUUUUGUUAGAGAGACUCCCAUACUAUUUUCCAUAAUGGUUGUGCUAAUUUGCCUUCCCACAAAAUACUAAAAAUUUCACCUGUCUUGAAAUCCAUGUCACCCUUUGUUAUUUUUUGUUUUCUUCAUGAUAGUCAUUCUACCUGGAGUGAGAUGAUAAUCUUAUUCUGGUUUUAACUUGCAUUUUUCUGUUGAUUAAUGAUGUGGAGAAUUUUUUCAUGUAACUAUUGGACAUGUGCAUGUCUUCUUUUGAGAUGAGUAUGUUAAGUCCUUCAGCCUAGUUUAAAAAUUGUUGUUUUGUUGUUGUUGUGUUUUGUUUUUUUUUUUUUUUUUAGCCCUGGGUUUUUUGAGAUAAUUGUAUAGUCUGGAUAUUAACUCCUGUAGAAAACCUGAGAAGUAUUGUGUGGCAUUGUAUUGGGGACAGGUUUUGUUAUUUACGUUUUGACAUAGAAGCACAGGCUAGACUGGCCUGGGUAGGUGGCUUGGGGCUGCUCCCACACCUGGAAUCUGAAGCAGUGUCAGUGGCCGCGGGCUUAGCAGGUUGGAGCUGGAUGGACCUGAUGCAAGGUGCUGGGCACCACUGGCACAGCACCCCAGCUGGCCGCAUGGGGGAAAAGGCCCAGGCCCUGCUGCCCACGUGUGACUCUUGGGGGCUUGGCUGCCAUGCCACUUUGUCCUGGGAGGCCCUGCUACAUGCCGCUGCACUCUGGGAGCUGGGAGCCCAACAAUGCCCUGCAGGUCUAAGGAGCCUGCCCUGGUCCCUGCACUGGCUGCAACCACUGGAGAAUGAAACACCCCCAGAUAAUAGCACCCGUGGGCUUGGACAAGGAGCUCAGUGACCUCCUGGACUUCAGCAUGAUGUUCCUGCUGCCCGUGGCCAGUGGAAAGGGUUGGCCUGUCUCCUUGGCCAGCGCAUAGUUCAGAGGAACAGGUCCGGAGGACUGGCCGGCUCAGGCUCCUGGGACGCUGGCAACCAGAACACCUCCUCCUUUGACCCCGGCCAGAGCUACAGUGAAGGACCCAUUUCAGUGAGUCCCACGGCAGCCUUUCUUGGUUCACAUUCCUGGGACCUGGGACCUGGACUUGGAGGCAAGGGAGGCCAGUGGGGUGGGUACCCCACCUUCUGGAGAGACACAGCUUUUGGCGGCUUGACUCAGGUCAGGUUCCUUGACUGGCGAGCUGGCCCUCCACAGCCACGGGCCAUUGUCCUUCUCAGACAUCAAGGGCAGCACCCAGUACAAUGCCUCCUAACCCGGCAACCCUUGGGGCAAAGCCUCAGGUGGCCACUGGGCCUACAGCCCAAGAAUGUCCAGAAGAUUCUACUUGUUCUUCCUUCCUCAUUGUACCCUCCCACCCCCAUGGCAGCUUAGGUGACGACUAAGGCAGGGAUGCCUGUGUCUACCCAUCUGGCAAGCUCCCUGUAGCACCUGCUCUGCAGCCUUCUACUGGCCAGCCUGCACCCUUCCUUGGAGCUCUAGAGCCCCUCAGACCAGGAUGGUUUCAGGCCCAUGCUGGGCGGGAGCUCAUCCGACUGCCCCUCUGGAUGGGCAGUGGUGAUGGGUUUUGAGGCCACAGUGCAUUUGGUAGCAUGUACUAGGAGCAUAUGGACUACUAACCGCAUGGAGCUGAGGUCAAUAGUGGCCUCCCAGCCAUGUCCACCUUCUCAGUGCUCCCAUAGCCGUGUAUGGUGGCAUCUCCAGCAACACACCACCCCUCCCAUCAGCGGGGCAGACAGCCUCAUCGGCUCCAGAGAGACCAUGGCCACCAGCAGGUGAGAGAACAGCAAAACAAUCCCCAGAGUUCUCUCUCAAGCCAAGAGAAUGCAAGAAAACUACAAGAUGAAAUGCAACUGAUUCACCUUUGCCAAAAAAGGAGGAAGACAUUGCACCAAAGGAAGAGAAUUAUGAGGGAGGACUCUGUUGGAGAAGCUAUUCAGCCAGCAGGAGAACGGGCCUCCAGAAGAAGCAGAGAAGUUUUGCUCACGGAUCAUUGCCAUGGGUCUCCUACUUCCUUUCAGUGACUGCUUCAGGGAACCAUGUAAUCAGAAUGCCCAAUCGAGUUCAGCUCCGUUUGAUCAAGAUCAACUUUACACCUGGGCUGCCGUUAGUCAACCCACACACUCGCUGGAUUACACAGAAGGGCAGUUUCCCAGGAGAGUCCCGUCUGUGUGGCCAUCAUCAAAACCUCCUCAUGAAGAGCACAGGUCGAAGAAGGCCGAAACAGGUAGGACGUGGGAACGGCGAUGCUCUGAACUUGGGCAGCAUAAUGUAUCUCUGCAGUACGCACUGGGUAGUGAGUGUGCACUUGUUUUCUAAGUGUUUUUUAGUGUAGAAUUUGCAAAUGACUUAAAAUCACUGGAGGCUUGUUAAGUUGAAGAUUCUUCUGCCACAUAUUCAAGGGAGCCAAGUUAGAGUGUUGGAGGACAAGAUACUGAAAUUCUCCAGUAAUUACUCUGUACACUGAAGGGUUUUUUAAUUCAUGUUUAAUUUUAAUUUUAAUUAAUUGUUAACAGACUCAAUAUGAUUUAUACAUACAAGUCUAAGAACAUAGUGAUAUUUCCUUUCUUCCACCCUCCUUCAUUCUACCUUUGUUUCUUUUUCUUUUUAGUUUUUGAGACAACAUGUUUUAAAUUUACAUUACAGUAAAAGUCUUAAUACUUCACCAAAUAAGAAGUUUCACAUGUGAAAAGCAGAAACGCCCUAGUUUAGGGGGAAUAUACACAAUAGCUAGAAACAAUAAUUGAUCGGAUGUACAUUGAAGUUUAAGAGCCACUU